CCUAACCCAAACCCAUCUUAACCCAAACCCAUCUUGACCCAUUACCCAUCCAACCCUUUUCUUUAAAUAUCCAUCCUGACCUAUACCCAUCCUAACCCAAACCCAUCUUGACCCAUUACCCAAACCCAUCCAACUUGCCCACUUUGCCACCACUGAUGAGGACGAUCGAAACGCUUUAAAGGUGGAUGAAGCCAAAGUUGUUCAAAGUAAACAAACGCACAGGUGCUGCUGGAAUAGAAGCUGCAGCAGGGCUAAUGAAUGCCAACGUUGCUCAUAAAGAGGCUUCUGAAGGGAACUUAUACCCAUGGCAUGCUAAAGGAUCUUCAAGACCAGUAUUGAGAAAGAUUUUAGCAGUGUAAUAUACAGCAAAAUGGAGUAAACGGUCACAUAUGUUCAUUGAAUCAGCAUUUUAAUAACAAUCAAAGUCUUAAGUGUCAUCGCCAUUUGUUGACCCGUUUUCCCCUGUGAAGCUACCAGAUAACUGGGAGAAUACACCCCUUAGCCAUUAUAGUUGGUCCUACGGGACGUGACAUGGUGGUUGUGGGCUUGAUCUCUUAAAGGGUGGUUUUGUUCCAACGGUGGAAAUAGAAGGCGGUGGGUGGUGGUUGAUGUGGGCGGUAACGGAGCGAGAGACAGUGAGGUAGCGACCGGAUAUGGCUGACGCCCGCGGGGAGGGAUUUAUCGGAGAUGGUGAGGGGUGGUCGCUGGUCUUUAGUCUUUAUGUCAUUGCAUCUAAAUAUUUUUAAAGGUUGCAAAUAGUCCCUAACAAGAUAUAAAGUUGUAUCUUAUUAUUGCAAUAAAAUUUAACCUUAUUAUUA